rnacentral:rRNA from 1 species
GACGAACGCUGGCGGCGUGCUUAACACAUGCAAGUCGAACGGUAAGGCCCUUCGGGGUACACGAGUGGCGAACGGGUGAGUAACACGUGGGUGAUCUGCCCUGCACUUCGGGAUAAGCCUGGGAAACUGGGUCUAAUACCGGAUAGGACCACUGCCUGCAUGGGUGGGGGUGGAAGGCUUUUGCGGUGUGGGAUGGGCCCGCGGCCUAUCAGCUUGUUGGUGGGGUGAUGGCCUACCAAGGCGACGACGGGUAGCCGGCCUGAGAGGGUGACCGGCCACACUGGGACCGAGAUACGGCCCAGACUCCUACGGGAGGCAGCAGUAAGGAAUAUUCCACAAUGGGGGAAACCCUGAUGGAGCAAUGCCGCGUGCAGGAAGACGCGUUUCGGCGUGUAAACUGCUUUUAAACGGGAAGAUUAUGACGGUACCGUUAGAAUAAGGACCGGCUAAUUACGUGCCAGCCGCCGCCGUAACAC